AUUAUACAUGAUAUGAUUCCCAAUAUGUUAAGUGCAUGCUUGCAUCCAUCCACUCUGGGGUACAGUUUUAUGUGAGAUACAUCAGAGGGGAGACGGGAGAUACACACGCAUGCUUAACACAACAAACUCCGGUGCCUGAUCGUAUCUUUAGGUUACUGAUGUGAGAUACAUGCGGCAUGUUUGCAUGCAUGGCCGCUUGACCAGAAUGGCCGCCCGUGAGACUUGCUCAUAUGAGAAAUGACCAUACGGAUUAGCUUGAGAUCGCAAGAACAAAGUUUUGAAGCAUUCUAUUACCUCCCAACCAUACAGAGUACUAUCCAUGCAAGGACGCAGGUUGUACGUUGGCUUCUGGGUGAAUUCAAGAAAAACAGUGAUGGGCUGGCUGCUACACUACUACUUCCUACUGCUAGCUUGUAUUUGUAUUUCUGCUGCUAUUUGUGCACCUGAACCUUGUAUCUCUGCUCCUGAACCUUGUAUUUGUGCUUCUGAAGACCUGCACCAUGUAUUUGUGAUGCUAUUUGUGCUCUUGAACCUUGUAUUUGCCUUCCUGAUAUUGUGUUUUCUAGCUGUUCUACUAUGUAUUCACAUUGAUGGUUAGUAACUGAAGCUAUUUGUGCAUUUUUGUCACUGUGUGAACCAAUAUUCGUUAUAUGAAUUUUGCCACUACUCUGUUAUACACUGUACAAGAACAAUAUACAGCAGCCCGAUGGGUAACCCAUCGGGUCGGGUUACCCAUUGGGUUCGGGCGUGGGUCUGAUCCUUCGCCCAUGGGCAGGGUCGUGGGCAACUGGGUAGACCCAUUUAGUAAUCGGGCAUGGGUUUGGUAGACCUCGACCCGGGCAAACCCGACCCGACUGCCAGGUUGACUCUGGGGUACAGUUUUAUGUGAGAUACAUCAGAGGGGAGACGGGAGAUACACACGCACGCUUAACACAACAAACUCCGGUGCCUGAUCGUAUCUUUAGGUUACUGAUGUGAGAUACAUGCGGCAUGUUUGCAUGCAUGGCCGCUUGACCAGAAUGGCCACCCGUGAGACUUGCUCAUAUGAGAAAUGACCAUACGGAUUAGCUUGAGAUCGCAAGAACAAAGUUUUGAAGCAUUCUAUUACCUCCCAGCCAUACAGAGUACUAUCCAUGCAAGGACGCAGGUUGUACGUUGGCUUCUGGGUGAAUUCAAGAAAAACAGUGAUGGGCUGGGUUAGCUUGAACCCAUGAUGACGAUGGCGCCGACAGCACACGAUCAACACUUCAGCUUGUAGGAUUGAACGACCAGAUCGAGACUCAUGUCGGCAAGACGGCCGUGUUGGCUACGACUCUCGGAGGAAGUGAAGUUGGGUGUGGAGAAGGGGGCAGCCGGAAGAAUAGUAGAGCUAUGAACGGGCUCUUGAUUUCAAAGUGCUUUAUAGAUCAAAG
rnacentral:lncRNA from 1 species